rnacentral:rRNA from 1 species
GUGAGGAAUAUUGGUCAAUGGACGCAAGUCUGAACCAGCCAUGCCGCGUGCAGGAUGACGGUCCUAUGGAUUGUAAACUGCUUUUGUACGAGAAGAAACCUUUCUACGUGUAGAAAGCUGACGGUAUCGUAAGAAUAAGGAUCGGCUAACUCCGUGCCAGCAGCCGCGGUAAUACGGAGGAUCCAAGCGUUAUCCGGAAUCAUUGGGUUUAAAGGGUCCGUAGGCGGCCUUGUAAGUCAGUGGUGAAAUCUCCCCGCUCAACGGGGAAACUGCCAUUGAUACUGCAGGGCUUGAAUUAUGGUGAAGUAACUAGAAUAUGUAGUGUAGCGGUGAAAUGCUUAGAGAUUACAUGGAAUACCAAUUGCGAAGGCAGGUUACUAACCAUAUAUUGACGCUGAUGGACGAAAGCGUGGGGAGCGAACAGGAUUAGAAACCCCGGUAGUCC